rnacentral:rRNA from 2 species
GCGGGGGCUAUACAUGCAGUCGAGCGGACUUUAAAAGCUUGCUUUUAAAGUUAGCGGCGGACGGGUGAGUAACACGUGGGCAACCUGCCUGUAAGACUGGGAUAACUUCGGGAAACCGGAGCUAAUACCGGAUAAUCCUUUUCCUCUCAUGAGGAAAAGCUGAAAGACGGCAUCUCGCUGUCACUUACAGAUGGGCCCGCGGCGCAUUACCUAGUUGGUGAGGUAACGGCUCACCAAGGCAACGAUGCGUACCCAACCUGAAAGGGUGAUCGGCCACACUGGGACUGAAACACGGCCCAAACUCCUACGGGAGGCAGCAGUAGGGAAUCUUCCGCAAUGGACAAAAGUCUGACGGACCAACGCCGCGUGAGUGAUGAAGGUUUUCGGAUCGUAAAGCUCUGUUGUUAGGGAAAAACAAGUACAAAAGUAACUGCUUGUACCUUGACGGUACCUAACCAAAAAGCCACGGCUAACUACGUGCCACCCGCCCGGGGUAAUAC